rnacentral:rRNA from 1 species
AUUGAACGCUGGCGGCAGGCCUAACACAUGCAAGUCGAGCGGUAACACAGGGAGCUUGCUCCUGGGUGACGAGCGGCGGACGGGUGAGUAAUGUCUGGGAAACUGCCUGAUGGAGGGGGAUAACUACUGGAAACGGUAGCUAAUACCGCAUAACGUCGCAAGACCAAAGAGGGGGACCUUCGGGCCUCUUGCCAUCAGAUGUGCCCAGAUGGGAUUAGCUAGUAGGUGGGGUAACGGCUCACCUAGGCGACGAUCCCUAGCUGGUCUGAGAGGAUGACCAGCCACACUGGAACUGAGACACGGUCCAGACUCCUACGGGAGGCAGCAGUGGGGAACAUUGCACAAUGGGCGCAAGCCUGAUGCAGCCAUGCCGCGUGUAUGAAGAAGGCCUUCGGGUUGUAAAGUACUUUCAGCGGGGAGGAAGGUGUUGAGGUUAAUAACCUCAGCAAUUGACGUUACCCGCAGAAGAAGCACCGGCUAACUCCGUGCCAGCCGCCGCAGUAACAC